rnacentral:rRNA from 1 species
UACGUAGGGGGCUAGCGUUGUCCGGAAUCAUUGGGCGUAAAGAGCUCGUAGGCGGUUUGUCGCGUCUGCCGUGAAAGUCCGGGGCUUAACCCCGAGCCUGCAGUGGAUACGGGCAGACUAGAGGUAGGUAGGGGAGAAUGGAAUUCCCGGUGUAGCGGUGAAAUGCGCAGAUAUCGGGAGGAACACCGGUGGCGAAGGCGGUUCUCUGGGCCUUACCUGACGCUGAGGAGCGAAAGCGUGGGGAGCGAACAGG